GACCGUUCCACAACCAUAAUUGUAUAUGGUUCAUUGAGCAAGCAUGGGAAGCAGUGUUUAAACCCUUUACAAUGAAGAUCUGUGAAGUUAUUUGGAUUUUUACGAAUUAUAUUUGAAAGACAGGGUCUUGAAAUAGGGAGUUUAUUUCUCCAAUGCCAAAUCGGUGUGUCUUAUUUGCAGCGAAACUGUCCCUGUUUGCAAAUAAUGAAAUCUGAGACGUCAUUAGGAAUCUGAGCAUGCUACUUCAUUUAAGGUUAGGUUUUAAAUCACAUUUUAAGAAGAUAAAUUGUAGAAAUACACUAGGUGUAUGACUUUGUGGCUGUGGUAACUAGUGACGACCCUGUGGCGCUAAUAAUUUUACAUUACAGAGAAGUCGACUGUUUUUACUCCGAGCGGAAAGGGAGUCCCUAGAGAAAGCAAGAACAAGAUGGUUGUCAGGAGUAGUGCAGUAUUAUCAUAAGGAGACGUAUUCUUGGAAAACGUAGGAGGAAUGGAGGGGAAAAGAGAGGGAGAGGAGGUCUAAGAGAGAGAGGGAAGAAGAGGGUGAGCUUGAGUCAGAUAAAAAUGUUGGGAAAAAGUAGAUGGUUUGUUAAAUAGGAAUGAUAGAAUGUGUAAGCAGAGGGAGCUGAAGACAGGAGGAGAAAUGGAAGUGAAUGAGGGUGAAGUAUUGGAUGUGGUAGGUGUGGUGAAGUUAUCGGGGACCGAGUUAUGCACCGAGGAUCAGGAGAAAGAUGAGUCUGUGACAGUAGGAGUGAAGUUUAUGGAAAAAGUGGACUCUUGCCUUCUGGUUGAUUCAUUUGUGGUUUCACAGUGGGUGAAAAAAGAGUUGGGUAAUGUGGAAUCAGUGAGGGUAACCAGACGGGUUCUAGUGAUAAUUGUAAUGUGGAAUCAGUGAGGGUAACCAGACGGGGUCUAGUGAUAAUUGUAAUGUGGAAUCAGUGAGGGUAACCAGACGGGGUCUAGUGAUAAUUGUAAUGUGGAAUCAGUGAGGGUAACCAGACGGGGUCUAGUGAUAAUUGUAAUGUGGAAUCAGUGAGGGUAACCAGACGGGGUCUAGUGAUAAUUGUAAUGUGGAAUCAGUGAGGGUAACCAGACGGGGUCUAGUGAUAAUUGUAAUGUGGAAUCAGUGAGGGUAACCAGAAGGGGUCUAGUGAUAAUUGUAAUGUGGAAUCAGUGAGGGUAACCAGACGGGGUCUAGUGAUAAUUGUUUGUGUUUCUGUUGGUCAGAGGGAGAAGGCGCUCAGAGUAAAACAAAUGGGGGCAAAGAAGGUGAAUUGUCUUCCUCUCUCUCAAUACCAAUGAAAGGAGUGAUAAAUGGGGUAGCAGUAAAUAUAAAAGUUGACCAGCUGAGGGGAAAGAUUCCCGGUGUAUGUGAUGCUCGUCGUUUGACCUGACGCAGACAGGGUGGCGAGUGGGGAAACAGAAGAGUCAUUGUCUGUUCGUUUUAGUUUUGAAGUUGAGUCUUUGCCCGACAAAGUGAAGUUAGGAGAUAUAAAUGAUCCUGUACAAGCCGAAUACAUUACGAUGUCAUAGGUGUCAAGCUUAUGGACAUGUGUAGGAGGGAGGGGCCAAGGUGUGCAGAAGGGCAUGAGACAAAGGAAUGUGUAGU